UACGUAGGGGGCAAGCGUUGUCCGGACUUAUUGGGCGUAAAGAGCGUGUAGGCGGCCAGGUAGGUCGGUUGUGAAAACUCGAGGCUCAACCUCGAGAUGUCGACCGAAACCAUCUGGCUAGAGUCCGGAAGAGGAGAAUGGAAUUCCCGGUGUAGCGGUGAAAUGCGCAGAUAUCGGGAAGAACACCCGUGGCGAAGGCGGUUCUCUGGGACGGUACUGACGCUGAGACGCGAAAGCGUGGGGAGCGAACAGG
rnacentral:rRNA from 1 species